UACAGAGACUGCAAGCGUUAUUCGGAUUCACUGGGCGUAAAGGGUGCGCAGGCGGUUGGGUGUGUCAGAUGUGAAAUCCCGAGGCUCAACCUCGGAACUGCGUCUGAAACUACUCGACUAGAGUACUGGAGAGGGUAACGGAAUUCACGGUGUAGCAGUGAAAUGCGUAGAUAUCGUGAGGAACACCAGAGGCGAAGGCAGUUACCUAGACAGUUACUGACGCUCAGGCACGAAAGCAUGGGGAGCAAAAGGG
rnacentral:rRNA from 1 species